rnacentral:rRNA from 1 species
GUGUCAGCCGCCGCGGUAAUACAGAGGGUGCGAGCGUUAAUCGGAUUUACUGGGCGUAAAGCGUGCGUAGGCGGCUUUUUAAGUCGGAUGUGAAAUCCCCGAGCUUAACUUGGGAAUUGCAUUCGAUACUGGGAAGCUAGAGUAUGGGAGAGGAUGGUAGAAUUCCAGGUGUAGCGGUGAAAUGCGUAGAGAUCUGGAGGAAUACCGAUGGCGAAGGCAGCCAUCUGGCCUAAUACUGACGCUGAGGUACGAAAGCAUGGGGAGCAAACAGGAUUAGAAACCCUAGUAGUCC